rnacentral:lncRNA from 1 species
GAGUAUCCUCUCCACACCACCUAUGAUUCCAAAAGCUGAUUCUCCUUCCAUCUCCCACCCUGUAAGUGAUGUUGCCACUGAAUGCUUCCCAAUUCUUCAUGAUACUCCUCCACAUGCCACACCCGAAAAGUGUUGUGAUCGCCUUGGUCCUCCAACCCCCUCCCGUUGAGUCGUACUUUUCUACUAUGACCUCCCUCCAUAGAGCAUGCUCUUAUGCCCCGAAUCUCCACAACCACUUCCCCAUUAAAGCUCUGUUAAAAACCCUAAGAUCUUUCACUCCAAGUCCACCCCACUUCUUUGGGGAAGUGACUGUCUGUCAAUUCACUAGAUGAAACUUUCUAGUUUCAUCCGCCGCAUCCCACAGAAAGUUCCUUUGAAGUCGCUCCAGUUUUUCUGUGAUGCUCACCGGUGCUUGCAACAGUGAUAAGUAAUAGGUGGGCAUAUNNNNNNNNNNNNNNNNNNNNNNNNNUCCUGAAUGAGAGGUCCCAUACUACCCCCUUCAAGCUCCUUGCGAAUCUGUUGGACCAUCAGUUCUUUCUGAUUUGAAACUCUGAAGACGUGGGGGAAGGAGACCUUGAGAGUAUCCUCUCCACACCACCUAUGAUUCCAAAAGCUGAUUCUCCUUCCAUCUCCCACCCUGUAAGUGAUGUUGCCACUGAAUGCUUCCCAAUUCUUCAUGAUACUCCUCCACAUGCCACACUCGAAAGGUGUUGUGAUCGCCUUGGUCCUCCAACCCCCUCCCGUUGAGUCGUACUUUUCUACUAUGACCUCCCUCCAUAGAGCAUGCUCUUCUACCCCGAAUCUCCACAACCACUUCCCCAUUAAAGCUCUGUUAAAAACCCUAAGAUCUUUCACUCCAAGUCCACCCCACUUCUUUGGGGAAGUGACUGUAUGUCAAUUCACUAGAUGAAACUUUCUAGUUCCAUCCGCCGC